GACGUCACGGACCCGGUAUAAAACCGCUCCGCCUGAUGCUGCGUCCACACUACAGAGAAGCAGCGCCUGUGGRCAUCCUCCUCCAUCUGACCAAACAAGAUUCAAUUAGUUCAGGAGAAAUAAAAGAAGAAGCGUCCAAAAUGCUCAAAAUGACGCUCGUUCAGCUCGGGCUGAUUUUGCUGGUGAUAUGCCUAUCAACACAGGUGGGCUCCCAGAACACCACCAUCACCACCGGAACGAAAUCUGCCUCCUCCUCCAUCAACAGUUCCACUGCGGCAACAGCGGUAAACUCCAGUGGCAACUCCACCAAACCCACCGGGGCGGGCGUCUCGCUGCACGCCGGCGCCCCCUCUGUCCUGACCCCCAUCAUCGUGGCCGCCUCCCUCCUGCAACGCUACUGUUAAAAACGACUCCCUUUCUGCUCCGCCUCAACUCCUCUCCUCGGCCGUCGUCAUCCCACCCAGUCCAGCUUCUCAUCUCGCGCUCUUAGAGACCACAAGACCAACAUAGAUGGACUCCACAGCCUUCUUCACCCUCCUUAAGUAAAAUAAAAAUAUCAUUUAAGACAUUUCUCUUUAGGAAAGGGGUGUGAAUCUAAUGUUCAGUUGGAGAUCUUCACCACAGCCCCCCCCUCUCCUCCCCUGCGUCCAGCCUCUUGCACCGAAUCAAAAGGAAUAGUGGUGCUUUUUCCCUUUUGGCUUUCCAUUGUCAGACCAUCACAUGUGGGAGAUGCUCAGGUUGCCAUGUCUUAUGUCCUGAUUGAACACGUGGACCACUUGAGUGCACAGGUUUUAUUUUUGUGGCUUUAAAUCCAACUGGAAGUCAAAAAUAUCUGACUGGUCUUUGUUAAAACGAAGUUUGGCAGAUCGGGGGUUUAGGAAAUGUGUGAGCCUGAUGACAUUGUUAGCUGCGUCUUUGGUCUUUUUUUCUUUUUUUUUUCUUUUUGUUUUUGUUAGAAAUGUUAACGUUUAUGUAGCACAAAAGUUGCCACAGAGUUUGUGUCAGUUUUGCCUCGUGAUUUUUAAAGAGUUGCCGUCUUUUGCGAUGAGGGUGUGACACCAUUCUUCUCUUUAUCCCCGGGUUAGACCCAGCAGAUUAUACUGUAAAACUGAAAUGUUAGAUUUACAUUUCCCCCUUAUAGUUUAUAUUUUGUAAAAAAAAAAUCUGUUGUUAUUAGUUUGCUUACAGAAAAAUGUAAGUAAUGACAAUGUACAAUAAAUUAUGAAAACUAA